UACGUAGGUGGCAAGCGUUGUCCGGAUUUAUUGGGUUUAAAGGGUGCGCAGGCGGUCUUUUAAGUCAGUGCUGAAAUAUCCCGGCUUAACCGGGAGGGUGGCAUUGAUACUGAAGGACUUGAGUAAAGUUGAGGUAGGCGGAAUUGACGGUGUAGCGGUGAAAUGCUUAGAUAUCGUCAAGAACACCGAUAGUGUAGACAGCUUACUAAGCUUUAACUGACGCUGAGGCACGAAAGUGUGGGGAUCAAACAGG
rnacentral:rRNA from 1 species